CCCUUAGAUGUUCUGGGCCGCACGCGUGCUACACUGAGUGGAUCAGCGGGUCAGGUUGCGCGAAAGUGUUUCCUAAUCUUGAAAUCCGCUCGUGAUGGGGAUUGACGGUUGCAAUUUUCCGUCAUGAACGAGGAAUACCUUGUAAGCGCGGGUCAUCAUCCCGCGCUGAAUACGUCCCUGCCCUUUGUACACACCGCCCGUCGCUCCUACCGAUUGAGUGGUCCGGUGAGGCUUUCGGAUCUGAGCGGAAAGAGCGUUUCGCUGUUUCUGCUCGGAAAACUCAGUCGAACCUUAUCAUUUAGAGGAAGGAGAAGUCGUAACA
rnacentral:rRNA from 1 species